CUGAAAUACAGAAGUAACAUCUUUCAAGGAUCUGAGGUGUAUUCAAGUAAAAUGGCCUCUUAUCUCACUCAUAGUCAUUGAUUUGUAUGGCUCCACAAAUUCAGCACAAUAACAAGAUGUGUGGUACAAACAUAAGUUGUACAUGUAGAAUGACUGCUUGCACAAAACAGCAUCCUGUCAGUGAGCAAAGGAUGCUGGGCAAAGGAUGCUGGGAUAUAUCUGAUUCCGACUACCGCUGGUCACUACUCCUUCUUCCCUCUGCUGUUAACAGCUCAAGCUGCAUCUCAGGAAAUAAGGAGUGUUUCUUCCCAGAGAGGACUUUCAUUAAAUGCUGCCUGAUGAAGUUCUAUUGAGAGGGAAGAGAACACCUUUAGAGCUUCAAAUAACUUCUAAAAGAAACUAGUGCUCCAUGGAAAUCAGGAAGCAACCAAAAAAAUAGACUGCUCUCUUGUAUAGAAACACUGGGGAUGAUUUUUUUGGGGAUGUUGGUUCUAUUUUGGUCAAUAUUAACUAGACCCAACAUUGACUUUUAAUAAAUUAACCCCAUAGUAAAA